rnacentral:tRNA from 1 species
GCCUGGAUAGCUCAGUUGGUUAGAGUGUGGGGCUGAUAACACCAAGGUUGCUGGUUUGAUCCCCAUAUGGGACA